rnacentral:rRNA from 1 species
GACGAACGCUGGCGGCGUGCUUAACACAUGCAAGUCGAGCGGUAAGGCCUUUCGGGGUACCCGAGCGGCGAACGGGUGAGUAACACGUGGGUGAUCUGCCCUGCACUUCGGGAUAAGCCUGGGAAACUGGGUCUAAUACCGGAUAUGACCUCCUAUCGCAUGGUGGGUGGUGGAAAGAUUUAUCGGUGCAGGAUGGGCCCGCGGCCUAUCAGCUUGUUGGUGGGGUAAUGGCCUACCAAGGCGACGACGGGUAGCCGACCUGAGAGGGUGACCGGCCACACUGGGACUGAGACACGGCCCAGACUCCUACGGGAGGCAGCAGUGGGGAAUAGUGCACAAUGGGCGAAAGCCUGAUGCAGCGACGCCGCGUGAGGGAUGACGGCCUUCGGGUUGUAAACCUCUUUCAGCAGGGACGAAGCGCAAGUGACGGUACCUGCAGAAGAAGCACCGGCUAACUACGUG